GGCUCACUGAUCUACACUACCAGCUCAUGCUCAACGUUACUGAACAACAAAGUAAUCCGACAAUCAGACUGGACCCGGUCAUGUUAGAAUCCAGAGGUAGGAAAUGAAAAUACAAUUGACUCCGCAUCGAUGCAUGACCUCGCCCGGAACGCGGCAAGAAAAAAACAAUGGAAGAAAAUACUACAGACGUGUUUAUUAACAAUAAAGUUAUUUUUGUUUUUAUGAAAUAGCGAUUGAAUAAAAAUAUUA